UACAGAGGGUGCAAGCGUUGUUCGGAAUCACUGGGCGUAAAGCGCGUGUAGGCGGUUUCCUAAGUCAGGUGUGAAAUCCCCCGGCUUAACCGGGGAAGUGCGCCUGAAACUGGGAGGCUUGAGUAUCGGAGAGGAAAGGGGAAUUCCCGGUGUAGAGGUGAAAUUCGUAGAUAUCGGGAGGAACACCGGCGGCGAAGGCGCCUUUCUGGUCGAUCACUGACGCUGAGACGCGAAAGCGUGGGGAGCAAACAGG
rnacentral:rRNA from 1 species